rnacentral:misc_RNA from 1 species
GAUGAAGAACGUAGCGAAAUGCGAUAAGUAAUGUGAAUUGCAGAAUUCAGUGAAUCAUCGAAUCUUUGAACGCACAUUGCGCCCCUUGGUAUUCCGAGGGGCAUGCCUGUUCGAGCGUCAUUAUAACCCCUCAAGCUCAGCUUGGUGUUGGGGCCUGCCGCACGGGCAGCCCUUAAAAUCAGUGGCGGUGCUAUCUGGCUCUAAGCGUAGUAAUUCUUCUCGCUAUAGAGUCCCGGAGGAUGCUUGCCAUUAACCCCCAAUUUUCUAUGGUUGACCUCGGAUCAGGUAGGGAUACCCGCUGAACUUAAGCAUAUCAAUAAGCGGAGGA